UGAGGGAGGAGUAGGAGUUGAGAAGGCACGAAGAGGUUUGGGGGAUGGUUUAUGGGGGAUGUUGAGAGUGUUUCAGGCAGAAGGAACAGCAUGUUCUGGAUCUGGAGGCCUCAAGGGUGGCGUCUCCGAGGACCUGGAAGAUGUGCGGUGGCCGGAGUGCAGAGGAGGUGCACGUUACCGAGAAGGAGGUCCAGCAGUGGUACAAGGGCUUCAUCAAGGACUGCCCCAGCGGGCAGCUGGAUGCGGCGGGCUUCCAGAAGAUCUAUAAGCAGUUCUUCCCGUUUGGAGACCCCACCAAGUUCGCCACGUUUGUUUUCAACGUUUUUGAUGAAAACAAGGACGGGCGGAUUGAGUUCUCUGAGUUCAUCCAGGCGCUGUCGGUGACCUCGAGGGGGACCCUGGACGAGAAGCUGCGGUGGGCCUUCAAGCUCUACGACUUGGAUAACGACGGCUACAUUACCAGGAACGAGAUGCUGGAUAUCGUGGACGCCAUUUAUCAGAUGGUGGGGAACACCGUGGAGCUCCCCGAGGAGGAGAACACCCCCGAGAAGAGGGUGGACCGGAUUUUUGCCAUGAUGGACAAGGUGCCACUGACCACCUGUGGGCCUGGAUCAAGGCAGGCGGCACUGCCUGGUGUGAUGUCCGCUGGUCCGCAGCCACCCCCAUCAAGCAUCUGGAGUUUUAAAACGCCGACGGGAAGCUGACGCUGCAGGAGUUCCAGGAGGGCUCCAAGGCAGACCCCUCCAUCGUGCAGGCACUGUCCCUCUACGACGGGCUGGUAUAGUCCAGGGCCCAGAGCUGGGACGCCUGGGAACCACUCACCUCCUCCCGUGCCAUGAGGCCACCUCAGCCCCGACACCACCCUCCCGUGUCCACCCAGCCCUUCUCUGCAGCCACGCCCAGCCGGGCUGCCCUGGAACCGUGAGGCCCGGCUCUCCCCUCCAGCCCUGCACCACCCCGGCCCCACCACUGCCUGAAGCCAGUGGCUCCAAUUGCCAACCACCUCUGCUUGUCCGGAAAACAGCAGCACGGAACGGAGAAGGCUGCAGCCCCCUGCAACAGCCAGGACACGGCUGCCUCACCGCAGCCCCCGGUUCCUCCCGCUCUCCUGUGUGUGUGCGUUUAUUUUUUAUUUCAAACAGACAUUGAAAAAGAAAAAAAAAACUACCUUCUGUCCUAGAAGAUACGGACUGACAGAUGUGGAGGAGGCCUCGGGGACUCAGGGAAUCCGCUCCGUCCUCGGGCAGCCAGAGAGGCCGCGGAGGUCCCGGCCUGGCCAUGGGUGGGCUCGGGAUGCUGGGGGGCUGCCUGGUUCGCGUCCUUGGUCCCCCGUCCUCCAGCAGCAGCACCGCCUGCGUGGCCAGGAUGAGUAAUGAUGAUGAUGAUGAUUUUUUGUGAUAACAGUAUUGUGCUUUUUGUGGGGAAAGUGAGGUUUUUUUUGAUACAUAUAGAAUUGAUAUCUUUUAUUUAUUGGUGUUAACUGUUGCUGCUGCCUCGUGUGUCCGAAGCCCCCAGGGAUGCGGGGCCCCCCGUUUACAUGUGCACGCCCUCGCCCACCUGCCCAGCGCUUGGGAGGAUGGUGGCCUCUGCAGCGGCCGAGAAGCCAAAAAACCUUUGUUUGUUUUUUUUUUCUUUUUGGAUACUGUGCUCCAUGUUUGGAGAGGGGGAAGGUGGGUUUCUUAAAUGGCUAAUGCACUGUUCCCUCCUGCCCGAAUGCCUCCUCCUUGAACCUUUUCUCUGCUCCCUGUGCACCUUCCUCCCUGUCCUGUGUCCUCCCCUGGGUCCAUCACAUCUUUUCCGAGGACCACAGGGGGCAUCUUUCGGUUUCUCCACUCUUGCUUUGGUGUUUGCAGUAGCCUGAGAAUGGAGAGGCUCGUCCUGAGACGGGAGCCUGGAAGGGAGGAUGGGUACAUAAGGAAGGAGGGAAGAGGGGGUCUUUGCAAGCAAGUGAGCAGAAGUGAAGGCCCUUUCUCCAUCCUUGGUGGCUUUUGAAAAUCUCUCGGUUUUCUCCCACUCUGCUUUCCUGCCUGCCUGUCUGCCUUGUCCAGUAGACCACACAGCAUCCUUCUUCCGUUCCCUCUCUCAGCUCCUGCUGGGAGAGAGGGGAGGAGCGAAGGGCUGCAGCCAGUGCCGUCCAGGUAGUGGCCGUCUCUUGGGGCUGUGGCCCACAUGUGUUCACAGGGAGCUUCUAGCUCUGCCUGCCACUGAGAUGGGGCAGCCCCAGACCCACCACCAAGAAAGUCAGACAACCUUGGACCAGGGGCCAGGCCCCCGAGGCUGGCCUUGCUCUGUGAUUGUGGGCAACCCUCCGCCCUCUCGGGGCCCAGCUCCCCCAGCUGCAGAGCCAGACGCCUGGGCUGGUGGACGUGAAGGCGCUUCCGUGCCGACACCGUAUAUUCUGAGCCUGGUCUCCUGCAGUUUGCGGUUCUGCGGUCUGUGGCUGCAUUUGCUGGACCUCAACAGAUGCGGGGACCAUCUGAGUCACUGUUUUGUCUCUUGGCACAAGUCCUCUUGGACACAGCAGCCACUGGGCCUGGUCUGUGGGUCAGACGACACACCUUGGCCCUCCCUGCAGGGCUUCCUGGUCCCUUCUGGACUUAGGAGUCAUCUUUUGGCCCAGAACUAGUCCUCACCCGGGGAAGGCUUCUGGGGUGAGAAGCAGCCCCCCAGACUGUUUAGGGCCAGGCCUGAGUCCAGAAUUCCUGCUGCUUCCUUGCACAGCCAGCAGCCUGUGAUCCCCCUGCUCAGCCUGCCCAGGAGCGGAGGAGCCGGCCCUUGGUUCCCGCUGAGAAUCGUCCUCCGUCUCCACUCGGCACUUUCCCAGGAGGCCUGAGCGGCUCCUGCCCGUUCCCCUCUGCCAGCAGACCCUCUGCCAGAGAGUGGCUUGCAUGGCCAUUCUUGUUGGCUGUACCUCAGCCGGCCCAGCCCUCUCUCCCUGCCUUUAGCAGGCCCUUUGGCUGCGCUCUGGCUCCACUGUGAGCCCCCCAGGUCCUGUGGGGACGGGGAGCAGUGGUUCCAUUUUCACAGGCACCUUUGAAGGCUGGGAUCCUUGAGGCCACCCUCCUGCUCAGGCCACUGGCCCACGAGGCCCAGGACUCACCGUCAAAUCCUGCAGCUCCUCAGCCGGCUCUGCCCUAGGUUCCUAGGGCACGAGAUGAACUUGGACAUGGGGUUGGAGGGGAGGAGAGUGAGGCCUGUCCUGGGUCAGGCUGCUUCUCCGGGCUCAGCCUGAGCCUCAGUUUGUCUCUCUGGUCCCGUGGGGAGGAGCUGUUGUGCAGCCCGUCCUGGAAGCAUCACGGGAAAGGGCCUGUGACUGAGUCCCCCGGGGCUGAGCAGGCAGACCCCUCCAGGGUGGAGAUCUCUGAGUGUCUGUGGGAGGCCUUCCUCCCACCUCUGUGCCCUUUGGCUUUUGGUUUGGAGCCAUGGUUGUGGCUUUUGGCCUUAGCCAGGAUCCCGUGGACCCACGCCUCAGGCACACCUUGUGUCCAUGCCCCCAGACAGCCCAGAGCUGCCAGAAGGGCCACCCUUCUUCCUGGAAGGGUGCUGGACACUGGCCAUUAGCGCCCAAGCUUGCCAGACAGGGACAGUGCUGUCCCCUCCUCUCACUGGGCCCCUAGCUGCCGCACCCUCGGAACCCGGAGCAGCCCAUGGGCCUCUCUCCCCAGCCCCAUCAGAUGCUGCUGUCUGGGGAUCCCAGACCAGGUGGAAGCUGGGCUCUGCCCCUCUGCCAUCCUGGCUCCCUGGGCCCAGGAGCAGGGUCCAGCCUCGGGCAGCCAGUCCUCAGCGGCCCUGGCUUCUUGCUCACGGCGCCUGCUCCCCGCUCUGUGUCGAUGGUACUUAGGAGAAUGUCCCGAGUUUGCAGUGUUUAACCAGGCGACGGUCAGAGUACGUGUCCCCCUGUUCCCCUGAAAUGCUUUUCAGCUUGCCACCCACCUCCUAGACGACAGGUGCACCUGGGCUUUUGGGGACAUUGUCUGUUCUCUGUGUGUGUGUGUAGGGGAGAGGUUGGGGUGUCGGGGUGCCCCCAGGGAGAGGCAGCCUCCCCCUGGAGAAAACCCCACUGCCCGCCGAGCUUGGAAAGCUCCCCGGUUGCCAGCUCAGCUUCAGCUUCCGAGGGAACGUGGCAGCGCCCCCUGGCGGCGAUGAGCUGCAAAGGCCUUUGGGGCCCCCACCUGCCAAACAGAUGAUUCCAGAAGGAGGCUGCAGGUGGGGAGGCGAGGAGGGGCUCUGACUCCCCAGGCCAGGGCCUCCAGCCCCACGUUAUUGACAGCGUGUCUCCCAGACGCCCCUCUUCAAGGUCUUCCCCAGGGGUAGCAAGUUAAUUAGCAGAAGGGCACUGUGAUGGGAAGCCUUGACCCCCUUUUUUUAAUAUCUGCGGAAUAAACCCAAUGGUUGAUUUUUGAAUGAAUAAAAGGCUUUUGCUGAAUAAACAGCUGGUCCCAUCUUCUGUCUUGGCAUCUAGGCUCAGGCUCUGUGUGCUCCCCAGGACUGGGACAAAUGCAGAACCCUCACCUCGCUCCCCCAAGGCUGUACGUUUCCUUUUUCCCGUGUCUUUGCAGGGGCCUGUGGUCCCGGGGAGGGCCACGCGCUCCCAGUCUGCCUCUGACCAGCUUUCUCCAGGACUCUGGGCAAGUCACUUCUGCUCAUUGGGACUCAGUUUCUCCCUCCCUCAGAUGGGAGCGAGAGCCCCCGCUCAGCCCACCUCACAGGGCGUUAGGGGAGCGGACAGAAACGUUGUCAUCAAAGCCCCUGGCAGAGGUGAAAGGCCAGUGCAGGGGCUGCAAUCUCUGGCGCCUCCACCCGCAGCCUGCAACUUUGGAAAGAAAUUUGGGCAACUCUUACAAAAAAAAAAAAAGGCGAUGCUUCUUGGCCGUGGUCGUUUUCUUUCUGUUUGCCUUCCCAGCCCCCUCAGAGCCUCUUUUUGGGGGUGCUGUCCUGUCUGAAUCUGCUGGUGUGUGUCUCUGGGGGAGGGGCAGGCCCUGGCCCCGGUGGUGCAGGCGGGGGCAGGGCCCCGGGGUGGACAGGCCCCGUGGCAUGCCCACGCCUCCUCUUGUGCUCCUCUUGUAUGUCGUCCAUGUCACGCCAAUUAAACACGCUUCCUGACUUGU